AUUGAACGCUGGCGGCGUGCCUAACACAUGCAAGUCGAGCGGUAACAGGUGUAGCAAUACAUGCUGACGAGCGGCGGACGGGUGAGUAACGCUUGGGAAUCUGCCUGUUAGUGGGGACGAACCCGGGAAACGUCGGCGUAAUACCGCAUACGCACUACGGUGGAAAGGACCGGGGACCGGCAAGGCCUGGCGCUAACAGAUGAGCCCAACGUCGGAUUAGCUAGUUGGUAGGGUAACGGCCACCAAGGCGACGAUCCGUAACUGGUCUGAGAGGACGACCAGUCACACCGGAACUGAGACACGGUCCGGACUCCUACGGGAGGCAGCAGUGGGGAAGUAUUGCGCAAUGGGCGAAAGCCUGACGCAGCGACGCCGCGU
rnacentral:rRNA from 1 species